CAACCAUUUUCUCAGUUUUCUUUGUAUAAACCCUUCAAACCACCAUAUAUACUCACACCAAGCCUCUCCGUCCUCCCUCCCUACUCAUAUCAGUUCAUAAAUUUUUACAAAACAAAGUUCUUUCAACCAAUAGAUAACCUAAGGAGGUUGCAAGAGAAAGAGGAGGGAAAAGAUAAACAACUAAGAAGGAGACAUACCCAACACCGAAGGCGUAGGAGAAGCAUCAAGAAAUUGAUGUGGAAGGUUGGGGAAGAUGGAAUUGAGGCAAGAACCAAUCUUCUGACGGAAUUGAAGCAUUGACACGGAGAGGAAGUUUGUUUUUCGCUUCUUUAAAAUUAGAUAUUUAUAGAUACGCUUCUUAUAAGUCCAUAAUAUAAGUUUGACAAAAUAUAUUCUUUUCUUGUAAUCAUAUGGUAUGAGCAAUUUUGAAAUGUUAUUCUUUAUUUUGUAAUUUAUAAUCCAUUUUUGGUUAACAAUUAACAAUUAAUCACUAAAUGUAAAUUAAUGGUUGUGUAUAGGAUAUGAAUGCCAGUUAGAUACAUUUAAUAAAAUUUUCCAAAUGGCGCGACUAAAACCCUUACCCCAUUGUCUUAAUUGGUGCAACACGCUUGGUAUGAGGUCACUUGUGGGGAUUUCAACAACAACAUGGUCUCAAUUCUAGCAAACUACGGUGUUGGCAAUUCUAAUUAUUCAAGAAAUCUUAAAGUUUUUGUACUUCAUAAUUGCAGGAAAGACUUGGGUGAUCGUAUUUUCCACCAUACAUCGAAACUGUUCGAUUAGUGGAUUCGAUGAGUUUAGGCACCUGUAUUCUGCCAUAGCAAAAGUCCUUUCACCAUUUCGUUAUUUUGAAACCAGAAUUGUGAUCGAUUUUUAGGGCAUUAUAUACAAACACUUCAACAAUCGGUUAAGUGAGUGGCUAGGGAAUGUACAUACAAAUACAAGUUUUGCUCAAGAUAAAAGACAUUUUCAGGCUAGGUAAUGAGUCUAUACACGGGUUUUGGAUCGAAGUUAUCAAGAAAGUGCAAUUGUAUGAUUUUUCCUUAAUCUGAUAUAUCCAAUAUCUUGUGUUUUGGAAUAUGUCUUCUAUUUUGGAUUUACAUGGACAGGGGCCUAUUAGGAGCUACUAAUUGGAUGUACUUUCACCGGCUUCUCCACAUAUCAUUGGAAAGUCUCACGAGCUACCUGACUAUUGGGAAGCAUGUCAAAGUUAUUAACAUAAGCAACAAGUUUUGAAGGGAAAUCUUGGUCUCAUUUGUUUCGCCUCAUUCAAAAUGACUUGCUGUCAUUCUGGGAUAUGCUCAAGAAACUAUUGGUACCUCCUGCAGAAGUAUGGCCUGAGUGCGCUGCAUUUUAUGUUUUCUUUGAUUUGUGCAAUACUAGUAAUAUACAUCACAAGGAGGAGUAAGUUAUAUAGUUAUAUCCCACCUCUUGUUACAUAAGUAAGUUUUAGAGAGAAUGUAUACCCAAUUAAUUGAAAUUCAUUACAAUUUUUAUAAAAAAUCUAAGUACUCUUAGCACUUGAAAAUACUUGGAUUUUUUUUAUAAAUAUUACAAGAAUUUCAAAUAGUUGAGCAUUCUCUCUCUAAAACUUACUUGUGUAACAAGAGUUGGAAUAUAGUUAUAUAUCUUACUCCUCAUUGUGACGCAGAUUACUAGUAUUGCACAAAUCAAAGAAAGCGGCGCGCUCAAGCCAUACUGCUGCAGAAGGUACCAAUAGUUUCUUGAGUGUAUCCUAGAAUGACAACAUGUCAUUCCGAAUGAGACCAAGACUUCCCUUAAAAAAUUGUUGCCUAUGUUAAUAACUUUGACAUGCUUCCCAAUAGUCAAGUAGCUCAUGAGACUUUCCAAUGAUACGUGGAGAAGCCGGCAAAAGGGCAUCCAAUUAAUAGCUCCUAAUAGGCCCAAGUCCAUGUAAAUCCAAAAUAGAAGACAUUGAAUAUGAUGAGAUUAAGGAAAAAUAAUGCAUACGUCUUGCGCUUUUAAAUCCAAAACACAAGAUAUUGGAUAUAUCAGAUUAAGGAAAUAUCAUACCAGUGCACUUUCUUGAUAACUUCGUUCCAAAACUCGUGUACACACUCACUACUUAGCAUGGAAAUUCUUUUAUCUAGAUCAAAAAUGUAUCUGUAUGUACUUUCCCUAGCCACUCAAUCAACAGAUUGUCGAAGUGUUCGUAUACGAUGCCUCAAAAGUCGAUCACAGUUCUGGUUUGAAAAUGACUGUGGUGAAAGGACUUUGCUGUUGGCAGAAUACAGGUUCCUAAACCCGUUGAAUCCACUUAUCGGAAAGUUUCUAUGUAUGGUGGAAAAUACAAUCACCCAAGUCUUUCAUGUCAUUAUGAAAUACGAGAACUUUAAGAUCUCUUGAAUAAUUAGAAUUUCCACCACCUUAGUUUGCUGGAAUUGAGACCGUGUUACUAUUGAAGUCCCCACAAGUGAGCUCUUACCAAGCCACUAUUGCACCAAUUAAGACAUCAAUGUAAGGGUUUUAGUCGCGCUGUUUGCAAAUUCCAUUAAAGGCCUCUAACUGGGCAUUCAUAUCCUUUACACGACCAUUAAUUAACAUUCAGUGACUAAUUGUUAACAAAUCAAUGAUCAUGAAAAAUAGAAAAUGGAUUGCAAAUUCAAAUCUUGUUUCAUAGAUAAAAAUAAAGAACAUUACAAAGUUUUCAAGACGGUUAGAUUACAUGAAAUGAAUUCUUGUCAAACAUUUAUUAUGGAGUUACAAGAAGCGUAUCUAUAAAUAUCUAAUUUAAAAGAAAAUAAACCGGCAAUGAAAAACUGAGCAGGUGAAGAAGCAUAAGAGAUGAAGAGUUAAUGAAAAGCUAAACAGGUAUAUUUUUUUCAACUUACAUUUUCAUGUCUAAUACCACUUAAUGUCACUUGUCUUUUGCGCUACAUUUAUGCACACAAUUUUAUAAGAAACACAAAUCCAAAGAGCAAAAGACACAAUGUGUAAUUUUAGCUUAAUUUCAAUGUAGAUGUACGAAUUUUCUCACCUUCCACCCCGUGUCUUGCAAUAGAUAAACACUUACUAUGGUAUCAAAUUUGCUCCCACUUUCAAAGUUAGUUAAGAGAUGGAAAGUUUUUCUCACCUUCCACUCUUUUUGCCAUGAGGUCAACUUGAAGGUGGAUGUAUCAGCUUGAAAGUGGCAGGGGACCCUUGGGUGUGAUAGAAUACACUGCUCUCCUGGGUAGAUUUGAACGGGAGAAACAAAAAUUGAGAGGACAGUUUGUGUUCUUCUACCAAGUAUGUGACAUCACAGAAAGAGACGUUCACUUUAUGGUUAAAUCACUUGUGAUGCAAGGAAAUGGAUGCAAUGCAUUUGAUGCAAAUGGUGAGGUUGUGUAUCAGGUCGAUAACUAUGAUAACAAGCACAUCGACGAAGUUUAUCUCAUGGAUCUCCGCGGCAAUCUUCUCUUGACGACAAGCAUGCAUGGGUGGGACAAAAGAGAGAGCAACAGGUUGUUAGCAAUUGCAGAAAUGGCAAAUUAGAAGCAUCUUAUCUGGAGGAGAGAUUUACUCGAGGAGAGAUUCUAACAUGUAACCGACUAUAUAUCUUCCGAUUAGUAUCACUCUCGAGGCACCAUGAUGUACUACGUUCUGUUUAAUAAUCAUGACCCAAAUUUUAUUACAAUAAUGAAGUACAUAACCGACCUAAAUACAACCGAUGAAUUUUAACGAA